rnacentral:lncRNA from 1 species
AUCACAGCUGGUUUCUGCUUGUAGGUAAAACCACACUCUAAGGGUCACUGCUGACUACCAGCACAUUUUGCUGCAUUCUCUUGAUGACCUCAUGGGAAAGACAGUGAGUUAGUUUAAGAGAGGGCAUCUGUGUACCUGCUUCACCCUCUCCCUGUAUGGGUGAAACACUAAGCCUGAGAAGACCUAUGCUUCGGCAGAAUAAUUUGUGAAAAUACCUGUUUAUUGAAGCAUACUGCCUAGACUUAAUUUUAUUUGAAGUUUUGAAAAAUAAAGGAACAAGAAAGAAUGUAUGUAAAAAGUUGUUAAAUGUUAAUUGACUAAAGCCUAGUUUAAAACUUAGGAAGCAACCUUUCUCUGUUUAAACUGUGUGAGAAUCAGGUUUAAGUGAUUGGAGCUGGUUCUUGCAGUUGAAACUGGUUUUGGAAGCAGAUCAGUGCUUGUGAGAUCCUGGUUCACCACUGGAUCCCCAUGGAGACUGAAUGAAUGGCCGUGGGUCACCAAAGUUUUUCCUCAGAUUAUCACAGAAUACUGAGUACAGUUCCUUGUGCUAUAUACCAGGUGUCCAUUGGCCAAUCACUCCAUAUACCUCAAUGUGCAUAUGUCAGUCUCAGACCUCCAGUCCAUCCCUCCCUGCCACCUGCUCCCUUUGGUAAUGUGCUUGGCCAAAUCUGAAAUGGGCAUUGGAAGAAUAUGCUGAUACUCGGAUCUUUGUAUAUUAACGGAUCACUGUCUGUGUGUGGGUAUCUGGGUGACCAAGAGUCAUCGUAAGUCUCAAAUCAUCACAAACUCCUGUAUCUUUUAUCAGUACAGCUCUCUCAGAAAUUUAAUAGGAUUUUCAUCUGUUCGAUUCUAGCAAUCAGUUUUCCAGUAGCCACACUCUUCAUUCUUAAAAAGUUUCCCCAAACUCUAUGUGGACAAAACUGAUAAACUGUAUUUUUUUUUUUUUUUGACUUUUUGACUAACGGAAGGCACUUUAAGUCUAUCAGCUUUGGUACAGUAAAUCUACAUCUUACCUUCUUUAUACUGAGUCAUUUCUUCCAGUUGAAAAGUUACUAUGUCAGGAUUCCCACUUCUGGCCAUGAUGGAGAAACAUGGACCCAAUUUAAUAUCCUGCGUUAUACAACUAAAAAGCUGGUAAAACAUGUAAUUGUUUUCACACAUUGGGUAUAAGACAGUAUAGGAUUGUGAUCACUGAGAAAUAGGAAACAAAUGCAUAGGGUUCUAGGAUGCCCUAGUUUUCUAUCUGGAGGCACAUUUGGACCAGUGGGUUAGGGUUAGGGUUAGGGUUAGGGUUAGGGUUAGGGUUAGGGUUAGGGUUAGGGAAGAGGAUGCCAAACAGAGCUGUGGUUGCCUCAGUGAACUGAGAAGGCAAGAGGAUGCCAAACAGAGCUGUGGUUGCCUCAGUGAACUGAGAAGGCAAAGGUAAAAGUUUGGAGUGUCUGAGGUAGCUAGAAUUUGUGGAAAAGAGUUACAGAGAAGAGAAAGUAUCACAGAAAAGACCUCCAGAAAUCUUUGAGUUCCCUCGACUUUAGCUGAAUAACAAACUUUUGGUACAUAGAAUGAAAUUCUAUCAGUUUAGGCCAAAGAACAUCUGGGUAGCCAUGAGCUGAACAGUACCCAGAACUAACCCGUGGCCACAGUAAACUUCUUAGUAAUCACUCAGUGGAGACUAAGAAGGACCAUAGCUUAGUCAUCGGGCUAAGCUAGACCUAAGAGUAAAGGCUAAUCUGGACCCUCGCAAAACGAAAACAAAGGGUGAAAGGAUCAGACCUAAGAGCAAGUAACUUAAUUUAGGAUAGGACAAAGCCCAGACUCCUUAAAGGAAGACAACAAAAUCAAGAUUCUCAACAAUAUAAAUAUAUAUUUUAUCCUGAUACCCAGGAUAAAAUAUAAUGACUACAUAAAAAAAUUAGGAAAAUGAGACCUAUAAUUAGAGCAAAAAUCAGUCAAUAGAAACAGGCCCAGCAGCCAAUAAAUAUCAGUAGAGAAAAUGCUGUCUUUUAAACAAACCGUGCUGGGUCUGUAAAAACAUAAGGAAAAAAAUGAAUGUUGACUUUUACUUCAUGUUGUACACAAAAAUUAACUUGAAAUGUAUAAGUCAAUGAAACAUAAAUGCUAAAGCUAGAAGAACAAGUAGAUAAAAUACCCUUAUGACUUUGGGUAAGCAAAGUUUUUUGUUAGUAUCGAAAGCAUAAAAGUCACUGAUAUGUUGGAGUUUAUCAUUAUUAAAACAGCCACUCUUGGAGUGCUCGUUGUAGCCCAGCAAUAAUGAACCCAACUAGUAUCCAUGUGGAUGAAGGUUCAAUCCCUGGCCUUACUCAGUGGGUUAAAGAUCCAGUGUUGCAGACAUUCUUUAUAUUCUCAACAAUAUAAACUUCAUGAUAUCCAGGAUGUACUGUGGCUCAUAUAUCGUGGUGCUGUGGCUGUGGGGUAGGCCCGCAGCUGCAGUCCAAUUAGACCCCUAGCCUGGGAAUUUCCAUAUGCCUUGGGUGUGGCCAUAGGAAAAAAAAAGGUGAAAACAGCCACUCUUUGAAAGACAUCAUUAAGAAACUGAAAAUAGAAACUACAGAUUAAAUAAAAAUAUCCAAACAGUACAUAAAAUAGCUUUAAGAGUGAUUUAUAUAUUCUGUAUGGGUAUACAACUCUUAACAAUAUAUGAGAGGACAAAUUGUGCAAUAUAGUAGGAACCGAAGAGUUGAUAGACACAUCACAAAAGAGUGUUUUCAGGUAGUUCCUCCAGUAACUUAGCAGGUUAUGAAUCUGACUAGUAUCCACAAAGAUGUGGGUUCAAUCCCUGGCCUUGCUCGGUGGGCUAAGGAUCUGGCAUUGCAGACAUCCUUCAUGUUCUCAACAGUAUAAAGCUCAUGAUAUCCAGGAUAUAAUGUGGCUCAGAUGCGGUGUUGCUACGGCUAUGAUAUAGGCCUGCGGCUGCAGCUCCAAUCAGACCCCUUGCCUGGGAACUUCUGUAUGCUGAUCCAUGGCCAUAAAAUGCAAAAAAAUUUUUAAAAGUUAAAAAAAAAGUAUAUACAAAUGGUUGCUAAGCACAUGAAACAAUGCUCAAUAACGUUAGUCAACAGAGAAAUGUGAAUUCAACUCACAAUGAGAUAAAACUACACAUUAACUUGAAUCUCUAAAAUUAAGACUGACAACCCCAAAUUCUGAUGAGGAUGUAAAGCAAUUGAAAUUAUUAUGUAUUGCUGGUGGGAAGGUAAAAUGGAACAACCACCUUAAAAAACUGAUUGGGGAGCUCCUGCCAUGGCUCAGUGGUUAACGAAUCCGACUAGGAACCAUGAAGUUGAGGGUUCAAUUCCUGGCCUCGCUCAGUGGGUUAAGGAUCCCAUGUUGCCGUGAGCUGUGGUGUAGGUCGCAGAUGCGGCUCGGAUACCGUGUUCCUGUGGCUGUGGCAUAGGCCAGCGGCAGAUUAGACUCCUAGCCUGGGAACCUCCGUAUGCCGCAGGUGUGGCCCUAGAAAAGAUAAAAAAAAAAAAAAGAAAAAAAAA